AAACAGAGAAGCCCCAAAAAAAGUCAAUGUACUAACUUAUACAAUAUGAAAAAUACAAUUUUUUUUCCUGUAAUAAGUUCCAUGAAAACAGAGAAGCCCCAAAAAAACAGAACCCAUCAGGACACAACACAAAGCUUCAAUAUAACCAACAAUGAAGUACAUACCUUGUCAGAAAAAGCAGUGUCAGGGGUCGAAGCCAUUCCUCAAAGUAACCAACAAAGAUACACAAACCAACUUCUCAGGGGUCGAAGCCCUUCCACCGACAACGGUUAAACC
rnacentral:lncRNA from 1 species